UUUUUUUUUUUAUCCAGGUAUCCCAACUUACACUAGACUAAAUCCUGGACCUCCAAGACCCAUGCCCCUAGAACUUUGGAGGGGGUAAAUCGCGGGUUAUGCCUCAACUGGAUCACGGGUUCCCCCCAUUGACUGUACACUUCUGCACACAAGAGACCCUCCUCCACAGUGAUUGCUCCAUACCAAAUUUUUGGCUGCAGGUUCCCACCAGGAAUCGAACUCUCCACCCUGCCGCUGGAAGCAAGUCAAUAUUGAUUGAUCCACCAGUUGAGCUGUGCCCCGGGGGGCAUUU
rnacentral:lncRNA from 1 species